UACGUAGGGUCCGAGCGUUGUCCGGAAUUACUGGGCGUAAAGAGCUCGUAGGUGGUUUGUCGCGUUGUUCGUGAAAACUCACAGCUUAACUGUGGGCGUGCGGGCGAUACGGGCAGACUUGAGUACUGCAGGGGAGACUGGAAUUCUCGGUGUAGCGGUGAAAUGCGUAGAUAUCGAGAGGAACACCUGCGGCGAAGGCGGGUUGCUGGGCUGACACUGACGCUGAAGUGCGAAAGCUAGGGGAGCGAACGGG
rnacentral:rRNA from 1 species